rnacentral:rRNA from 1 species
GGCGCAAGCCUGAUGCAGCCAUGCCGCGUGUAUGAAGAAGGCCUUCGGGUUGUAAAGCACUUUCAGUCGGGGAGGAAGGGGGUGUAGUUAAUAGCGGCAUUAUUUGACGUUAGCGACAGAAGAAGCACCGGCUAACUCCGUGCCAGCAGCCGCGGUAAUACGGAGGGUGCGAGCGUUAAUCGGAAUUACUGGGCGUAAAGCGCAUGCAGGUGGUUUGUUAAGUCAGAUGUGAAAGCCCGGGGCUCAACCUCGGAAUAGCAUUUGAAACUGGCAGACUAGAGUACUGUAGAGGGGGGUAGAAUUUCAGGUGUAGCGGUGAAAUGCGUAGAGAUCUGAAGGAAUACCGGUGGCGAAGGCGGCCCCCUGGACAGAUACUGACACUCAGAUGCGAAAGCGUGGGGAGCAAACAGGAUUAGAUACCCUGGUAGUCCACGCCGUAAACGAUGUCUACUUGGAGGUUGUGGCCUUGAGCCGUGGCUUUCGGAGCUAACGCGUUAAGUAGACCGCCUGG